GGACGAACGGCUGGCGGCGUGCUUAACACAUGCAAGUCGAACGGGCGAUUUAAGCUUGCUUAGAUGAGCCUAGUGGCAAACGGGUGAGUAACGCGUAGGCAACCUGCCUCUAAGGAUGGGGACAACAGUCCGAAAGGACUGCUAAUACCGAAUGUUGUGAGUUUUCCGCAUGGGAGACUCAUUAAAGAUGGCCUCUACUUGUAAGCUAUCACUUAGAGAUGGGCCUGCGUCUAGAUUAGCUAGUUGGUGGGGUAACGGCCCACCAAGGCGACGAUCAGUAGCCGGUCUGAGAGGAUGAACGGCCACAUUGGGACUGAGACACGGCCCAGACUCCUACGGGAGGCAGCAGUGGGGAAUCUUCCGCAAUGGGCGAAAGCCUGACGGAGCAACGCCGCGUGAGUGAAGAAGGUCUUCGGAUCGUAAAGCUCUGUCGAAGGGGACGAACGUUGGGUUCUAUCAACAACGGAACCUAAUGACGGUACCUUUCAAGAAAGCCACGGCUAACUACGUGCCAGCCGCAGC
rnacentral:rRNA from 1 species